UGUAAAGACACAUUACAGGC
rnacentral:piRNA from 1 species